GAUGAACGCUAGCGACAGGCUUAACACAUGCAAGUCGAGGGGCAGCAUAAAAGUAGCAAUACUUUGGUGGCGACCGGCGCACGGGUGAGUAACGCGUAUGCAACCUACCUAUCAGAGGGGGAUAACCCGGCGAAAGUCGGACUAAUACCGCAUAAAACAGGGGCACCGCAUGGUGAUAUUUGUUAAAAAUUUAUUGCUGAUAGAUGGGCAUGCGUUCCAUUAGGUAGUUGGAGAGGUAACGGCUCACCAAGCCUACGAUGGAUAGGGGAACUGAGAGGUUGGUCCCCCACACUGGUACUGAGACACGGACCAGACUCCUACGGGAGGCAGCAGUGAGGAAUAUUGGUCAAUGGGCGAGAGCCUGAACCAGCCAAGUCGCGUGAAGGAAGAAGGAUCUAUGGUUCGUAAACUUCUUUUGCAGGGGAAUAAAGUGCAGGACGUGUCCUGUUUUGUAUGUACCCUGAGAAUAAGGAUCGGCUAACUCCGUGCCAGCAGCCGCGGUAA
rnacentral:rRNA from 1 species